GAUGAACGCUGGCGGCGUGCCUAAUACAUGCAAGUCGAGCGAACGGACGAGAAGCUUGCUUCUCUGAUGUUAGCGGCGGACGGGUGAGUAACACGUGGAUAACCUACCUAUAAGACUGGGAUAACUUCGGGAAACCGUAGCUAAUACCGGAUAAUAUUUUGAACCGCAUGGUUCAAAAGUGAAAGACGGUCUUGCUGUCACUUAUAGAUGGAUCCGCGCUGCAUUAGCUAGUUGGUAAGGUAACGGCUUACCAAGGCAACGAUGCAUAGCCGACCUGAGAGGGUGAUCGGCCACACUGGAACUGAGACCCGGUCCAGACUCCUACGGGAGGCAGCAGUAGGGAAUCUUCCGCAAUGGGCGAAAGCCUGACGGAGCAACGCCGCGUGAGUGAUGAAGGUCUUCGGAUCGUAAAACUCUGUUAUUAGGGAAGAACAUAUGUGUAAGUAACUGUGCACAUCUUGACGGUACCUAAUCAGAAAGCCACGGCUAACUACGUG
rnacentral:rRNA from 1 species